rnacentral:rRNA from 1 species
CGCACUAUGAAGCGAAUGGGGGGGUCGCAGUGAAAAGGUCCGGGCAACUGUUUAACAAAAACACAGGUCUAUGCUAAGCUGAAAGGCGACGUAUAUGGGCUGACACCUGCCCAGUGCCGGAAGGUUAAGGGGGAGGAGUGAGAGCUUCGAACUGAAGCCCCGGUGAAACGGCGGCCGUAACAAUAACGGUCCUAAGGUAGCGAAAUUCCUUGUCGGGUAAGUUCCGACCUGCACGAAUGGUGUAAUGAUCUGGACGCUGUCUUGGCGGUAGGCUUGGCGAAAUUGUAGUAUGGGUGAAGAUACCCAUUACCCGCAGGAGGACGGAAAGACCCCAUGGAGCUUUACUGUAGCUUGGUAUUGGGUUUUGAUUAUGUGUGUAUAGGAUAGUUGGGAGACUGUGAGAUAAUGCCGCUAGGUGUUAAGGAGUCGUCGGUGGAAUACCAACCACACAUCGUUGAAAUUCUAAUCUGGGAAGUGAAUUCUUGGAGACAGUGCUAGGUGGGCAGUUUGACUGGGGGC